UACGAGACACCGAAAAGUUUGAAAAAACCCAAAAUAGCCGAACGUCGUCGUAGUAUCAGCUUCCUUCAUUCCGGCCAAUAUCUGAAAAAACACACAAAUACACACACUGAAGGUGCAUUCCGGGGCCGCAUCAGCAGAUUUGGAGCUUGCAAUCGAGGCUGUCAAUUAUGUCGAUAAAACCAACGGUUGCAUUAAGAGCAAUGCUCGUAGGAGGAAUUGCUGCCUUUGCUAAAAUUGGAGGCGCAAUGAAAGCUGCAGGUGGAGUGAAGAUUGGUGCCGCAGCCGCUGCUGUGACUGCUGCAGCAACUGCUGCUGUAUCAGGACCGAAACAGGAUCCAAACAACACAUCAGCUCCUCCUUCAAAAUAAAAGUUCUGUAGCUGCAAAAUUUGCCCACUGUAUUUCUGGGAAGUUUUGGACAUAGUGAAUAUGCAUGUACUUCAAUAAUAUUUUUACGA